rnacentral:rRNA from 1 species
UACAGAGGGUGCGAGCGUUAAUCGGAAUUACUGGGCGUAAAGCGCGCGUAGGCGGCUUUGCAAGUCGGGUGUGAAAUCCCCAGGCUUAACCUGGGAACUGCAUUCGAGACUGCAUUGCUAGAGUAUGGGAGAGGGAAGUGGAAUUCCUGGUGUAGCGGUGAAAUGCGCAGAUAUCAGGAAGAACACCUAUGGCGAAGGCAGCACUCUGGGACGGUACUGACGCUGAGACGCGAAAGCGUGGGGAGCGAACAGG